rnacentral:rRNA from 1 species
UACGUAGGAGGCAAGCGUUGUCCGGAAUCAUUGGGCGUAAAGCGCGUGUAGGCGGUUCGAUAAGUCUGCUGUGAAAGUCCAGGGCUCAACCCUGGAAAGCCGGUGGAUACUGUCGGACUAGAGUACGGAAGAGGCGAGUGGAAUUCCCGGUGUAGCGGUGAAAUGCGCAGAUAUCGGGAGGAACACCAAUUGCGAAGGCAGCUCGCUGGGACGUCACUGACGCUGAGACGCGAAAGCGUGGGAGCAACAGG